rnacentral:rRNA from 1 species
GACGAACGCUGGCGGCGUGCUUAACACAUGCAAGUCGAACGAUGAAGCCUAGCUUGCUAGGUGGAUUAGUGGCGAACGGGUGAGUAAUACGUGAGUAACCUACCUUUAACUCUGGGAUAAGCCUGGGAAACUGGGUCUAAUACCGGAUACGACCAAUCUCCGCAUGGGGUGUUGGUGGAAAGCGUUAUGUAGUGGUUAUAGAUGGGCUCACGGCCUAUCAGCUUGUUGGUGAGGUAACGGCUCACCAAGGCGACGACGGGUAGCCGGCCUGAGAGGGUGACCGGCCACACUGGGACUGAGACACGGCCCAGACUCCUACGGGAGGCAGCAGUGGGGAAUAUUGCACAAUGGGCGCAAGCCUGAUGCAGCGACGCCGCGUGAGGGAUGACGGCCUUCGGGUUGUAAACCUCUGUUAGCAGGGAAGAAGAGAAAUUGACGGUACCUGCAGAGAAAGCGCCGGCUAACUACGUGCCAGCAGCCGCGGUAAUACGUAGGGCGCGAGCGUUGUCCGGAAUUAUUGGGCGUAAAGAGCUUGUAGGCGGUUUGUCGCGUCUGCUGUGAAAGGCCGGGGCUUAACCCCGUGUAUUGCAGUGGGUACGGGCAGACUAGAGUGCAGUAGGGGAGACUGGAACUCCUGGUGUAGCGGUGGAAUGCGCAGAUAUCAGGAAGAACACCGAUGGCGAAGGCAGGUUACUGGGCCGUUACUGACGCUGAGGAGCGAAAGCGUGGGGAGCGAACAGG